GCCCUUUGAUUACCAAACUCACUGAAUCCUCAUACGAUGUGACCAAUGGCGAAUACAACAUAGAUUCCAUGUACUUGAUAUUUCCUGUGUCUUCGCCAUCUAAUUUGAUCAUUGCCUUGAAGUUUCCAAAAACAUUUGCAGGAAGUGAGCCACUGAAAUCAUUACGAGAAAGAUCAAAAAUUCGCAACUUGGGAAAGCAAAACUUAGUCUGACAUAUACUUAUAGGUCCAUGGAACUUGUUCGACUUUAAUAUAAGGACCUGCAGCUCUUGAAGAAUUCCGAGCCAAGCUGGAAACGUGUCAUUUAUAGCAUUGUUCCCCACAUCAAGGACUUGUAGACCAUUACACUUGAGCAAUGACACAGGAACAGGUCCUUCAAAUCGAUUACCAUUUACGACAAUGGUACUCAAUGAAGUGCUGUGUGCACAUAAUGGAGGAAGACUCCCUGUGAAAUUGUUCCUUCUUAAGUCUAGCACCGUUAG